rnacentral:lncRNA from 1 species
AGAGAGGCAGAUUGGCGAAAACCCGAAAAGGGCGUCGUCGGCCGAAAAGAGGAAAUAUUGAUGCCCAUGGCUGAAUAAGUUUCUUUGGUUUUUGAAAAGUUGAAGUCAGAAAGCAGAAAUGGAUCUGGGCCGGGUAUCCAGUCCAAGAAGCAUGUCGUUGCCGUUUAAAGUCGAUUCAUACUCCCAGAUAAGUCCCCUCUUUUCCCUCAAAAGAACAUACCUCUCUAAAAUUCAUGCUUCACUCAUUUCCACUUUAAUUUUGAUGUCCUGACCAUUCCUUAAGAAAGGUAGCAAGGUCGGACUUGCGGGUUUUCUCCUGACAAAAACUAAGGGAAUGUCCAACAUCGUCAAGUGCGCUUAGCCAAUCCCGGUUGAUCAUGACGGUUAAUGCCUCAAGAGCAGGGAAAUAAAAGUCGGCCUUGCGAGUUUCUCCUGGCAAGAACUAAGGAAAUGCUCGACAUCGUCAAGCGCACUUAGCCAAUCUCGAUUGAUCAUGACGGUUAAUGACUCAAAAGCAGGGAAAUAAAAGAAAGGAAAUUUAAUCUCAAAGGUCCAUGAAGGUGAAGCAAAAUCGGAGGGUUUUAAGCCAAACAGGAUGUUGAUUCUUAUCAAAAGUCCCAAAAGCAAGCCUAAAAUCAAAGUCGGGACGAAACUUAUAACCCAACGCCUGGGAAACAAAAACCAACUCA